UACCUCCUUGGUCAGUUGUAUUCCCAGGGAUUUGAUUUUUUGGGGUGCAAUUUUAAAAGGUAUUGUAUUUUAGUAUUCCUUUAAAAAAUUUUAAAAAAAAUUAAAAAAAAGAAAAGAAAUGAAGGCCCCAGGAGUUUGGAUAUGGAAGCUUUCAUGAGGUGUUAGCCUUUCUUAAAAACUGGAAAUGAUGUAAUCAAAAGGUGAAUUAACGUGAGGUGCUAAGGAAGACAGAGUCUGGAGGUGAGGAGACUCUAGGUCAGUGGGGGCCAAAAUACCCCAAGAGGGAAUAUAGUGAUUACAAUCAAAGCACUCUCUUUUGUGAGUUGGUGGCUUCAGUUUCUGUUUUAGAUUCUUUUGUACUGAUCCAUAGUGAUGCUCAAAUGAAACAUGUGACUUGGUGCACAGGACAAUUCUCUGAAGCAUGUCCUCUUUUGUGAAUGUAUUAUGCUUCUUCAGAGAGCCUUUUAUAACUCCUCCACAUUCCAUCAAUUGCUUCCUUUUAAAAAAUCCUGUAAUGCAGCUGGAAGAAAAAUGUAAUUGAGUAUUUAAACAGUCUUUGCUUAAUAGUCACUAAUUGUUUCACAUAUGCAACCUUUGUUUUUCUAGAAUAUUGGUAAGGAGGGCUCUCUCGUUGCUUUUUUUUUUUUUUCUCUUAUGAGAAACCUAGCACAAUUCCAGUCGAAACAUGUGACCCAAACAUUCCUGUUUUGUUAUUUAUUUUUUUUCAAUCGAUUAUCUGCAGAAUUCUGUGCAUUGCCUGGAAACAUUUAAUAAGUGUGUGACAUUGUAAUCAGAAAAUAGUAGUUUGGAAAUUUGUAGACUAAAAGUUCCAGUCCUCAGUGCAUGACCAGAUAAGUGAUAACUAGGUUAUUUAUUUGUAAAAUAAAACCAUCAUCAAGUUAUGUGGUCAAAGUUGCUCAUGUAUGGAACAGAACUAAUUCAGAUAAAUUAGAUAGACUGAAAUGAGAGGAAACCAGGCAUUGCUUCUGAUCCCACUUUGAUUAACAUUGUAUAAUGUAAUCUACACAGCAAUUUGAUUACAUGAAAAAUAUAUUGUAAAUCAAAAGGAUUUUCCUAAAUAUUCCCAAUAUGUGGGAUUUAUUUUGAAGAGUUUAUACAUGUUCAUAUUCAUUUUUCCAGAAAGCCAGUGAAAGAGUGAGCCAUGAAACAGUCCGGUAGAGUAUGAAAAACUAAAUCUGCACUGUCUUCUAGUCUGUAAUUUAAUACUUCAUAACAUUAUACUUUUAGUGUUUUAGUAAUAUAAGCUAAUUAGAACUAUCUGGGGAGUGUUACUAUAUAGAGUUAAGGUCUGACCCUAUAAUUCAUGGAAUGUUUUUUCUAGUAAUGUCCUCAAAUUUAUUUCAGUGGCAGCUCUUACAUAGAGUAAUCCUGGACUCGUAGAAGUCAUUGCAUUACACUUUAAAACAAGUAUUCGCUAUGAAGCAUAAAAAUUUUUCCUUAUAUUUAAAAUGGUAAAUAAUAGAAUAAUAAACUAAAGGUGAUGAAGCCCCUUUUCUUCUUUUUUGGUAGAGAGGCAGUGGUGAACUGUGCCCAGCAUUCCCUAAAAGAACGAUUAUUCUUAGUCAUAUCAUGAUUUAAAAAAAAAAUGUAAACUCUGUAACUUACCUGUUCACUCUUGCACUCUCCUCUUUUUCUUCAGAUGUAGUAAUAAUGCAGCAGUGGAGGAUUGCUUUCGUUCUUGCUUAAGUUUUACAUUUAUUUUCUUCAUGAAAAUAAUAAAUUUUGAAUUAAGCUUGAACUCUGAUAGGGUUAUUUGAAAUGGCCUGAGGAUUUUAGAAGGGUGCUCUUUUUUUAUUAACAAGGUUGAUGAUGAUGAUAGGAUCUUUUGGUGUUAUCAAAGUUAAAAUUAAAUAGUCAUUUGAAUCUUUUUCCACGUCAAGAAUAGCAUGUUUUUAUGCUUUUAUAUUCUUUCAUUACCUGUGAUUAUAUAUUGAUAAGGGAGUCAUAUGUAUUUUGCAUUUCUUUCAUUAGGAUUUAUAUAUAUAUUUCUAAAUUUCUGAGGUCGAUAUGUAUAUCUGAAUGUAGUAUACAUAUAGAUUGCAUUAAUGUUCAUAAUAUAAUUGCUGGGACACAGGGUAAGUAUAUAUUUAAUAUUUUAAGACUUCCAAUUUUUCAAAAUGUUCUAACAUUUAUACUCCUAAGCAAAAUAGGAGAUUUCCAGCAGCUGUGUAUGUUGUCAGUCUUUCUAACUUCAGCAUUUGUAACAUAUGUGCAGGUGAAUUUCAGCGGAGUUUUAAUUAGCAUUUUCAGAACGUAUUUUUAUGGAAGAAUGACUAGGAUUUCUUUAUAAUUUGGGUGUAGUUAUGAGAGAAAGAGUGGAGAUAAAUAGGACUUUAAGAAUUUGGGUCCUGAUUGACUGAAAGUUGUAUUGUCCAUUAACUGAGAUGGGAAAGACUGAACUAGGAGAAGGUGGGGGGAAGGGAAAGGAUAUCAAAAAUUGAGUAUGACAUCCAUUGUCCAAUUAGAUAAGUUCAAGUAGAGAUGUCAGGAAGGAAGUUUGCUCUGAGAAUGUGAUUUCAGGGGAGAUGUCUUUUGGGAGUCAUGAUGAUACUUAAAGCCAUGAGAUUGGUGGCUUAUUGAAGGUGUGAGUGUAGGUGGAAAAGAGAUUAAUUCUAAGUUCUAAGCUGGAGUCUUUCACAGUUUGAUCCAGUAAGGCAAACCAGGAAAGACUUUGAGAUGAACUAGUUAGAGAGGAAGGAGGAAAUGUCCGAGGGUGUGGCACACCUAAACCCAAGAAAGGAGAAUUUUCAACAGAGAAGCAGUGAUGAACUGUGCCCAGCAUUGCCUAAAAGAAACUAUUGCAGCUCAGAUAUUAGGGGGAAUGGGAGGUGGUGGGCAGAGAGUGAGACACUUGAAACUAGUAUUGCUAUAAGGUUUCCAGUUAUUAGUAAUGGGGAAUGAGGAAGAUCAUUGAGACCAUGGCUGUAUUAGGAUGAAGGUCAAGAUCACAAGAAGAAGGGAGUUUAAGAGACAGAGAGGCCAUUGUGUUUGAAAGCACACUGGAACAAUGAUACAGAGUUUGGAUAAGUUACAUACAUCAAGCUAAAAUAGUUGGCUAAAUCUAUUACCCUGUCAAUUAAAAGAAAAAAAAAAGAGGAAGUUCUGAUUUUAGAUCUAACAUACCAACUGCACCAAGGAAGUUAUGAUUUAACAUUAGACCAUAUAUGCAGAACUUAAUGGAUUCAGUUGACUACCUAGUUAGUUGUAAGGGUUUGCCAACUAGAUUAUCAAUAAUGUUUUCCAGUAAAGUUUCUCAAAAACAAUGUGCUAAGGACAUUAUUAAUUAUACUCAACAUUAAAUAAUUGCAUCCAAAAUAAAGAAGACUGUUCCUACUUUAACACCCAUAAGCAGUGUUUAAAGAUCAUGUUCUUUCAUGUGUUCUACACAGAGCAUAUCAAAGGAAGAGAGAUCAGGAUUAUGAGGCAAUUCGAAGCCAUGUCACAUGAUGACAGUGUUGACACAUAGACACUUUCAUGUAUUUCCCUUAAGAAAAAAGAAAGAAAUUAGGGAAAAGCAAAUGAGUGGCAUUUAACAUUUCUCCUUGAAAUGUGAUGAUGAGAAAAUGUAAAGAUGCACCUUCCUGGCAGCAGUGAGAAAUUUAUUUAUUGAUUUAUUUUAAUGAUUCUUAGCUUUGCUUCAUCAGCAAUAUGAUUCUUGAACAUUCCUGAAAAAUGAACAAACUGGAGUGAACCUUACAGUAAAGGCUUAUGUUUUAUAUGGAUUCUAAGACACCAUCUAUUAUGAGUUGUACCAUUACUUUAUGUAGCAAGCUGUUAUUAAAACUAUGUCAUGAUUUCACUUUUAAGGUUCAUCCUGAUUUAAGAAAUGUUAGAAUAUGAGAAAAAACUAACUUACAUUAGUCAUAUGUAGUAAAUAAAAACUACAGUUCCUUAACUUCUUGUUUUUAAUCAUAUUGAUAUUUUAGUGUGCUAUGUGUCUUUCAAAUAUCCCAAAUUGGCAUAGAAAUAUUUUAUGGAAAGCAUGGACUUUUGUGUGGAAUAUCAUUCUUUUUAUGGUUGCACUUGUGGCAUAUGGAAGUUCCCUUCUAGGGGUCCAAUCAGAGCUGUGGCUGGGGCCUGCAUCAUAGCCAUGGCAACAUUGGAGCUGAGCUGCAUCUGUGACCUACACAGCUUGCGGCAAAUGCCAGAUUCUUAACCCACUGAGUAAGGCCAGGGAUUGAACUUGCAUCUCAUGGAGACAAUGUUGCGUCCUUAACCUGCCAAGCUAAAAUAGGAACUCCUCAUUCUUUUUUAUACAAAAAAAUAAAAGAUUUUUAUUAUGGUUAGAAGUGAUAUGUUUUCCUAAAUAAUUUUACAAAACAUACUUAGCUCUUUGAAAUUAGUGACAAAAUUCUUACUGAAAUGAUAUUAGUUAUCAAGGCAAAAUAUGAUGCUUUACAUGUUGCACUGAGACCAUUUCUUAUGACUUUAGUAAGAAAUUUUUUUUUUUAAAAAGUGUACUAUUUAUUCUUAAUGCGCUAUUUGUGGUACCUUCAGCAAGUUUGCACUAAGUUCCUCUGGCUAUGUUGUAAAGUACUUCACACACUUCUGGUGCCUUCUGGUUUAUGGAUGGCUUUUGUCAGAAAGUCCUGUCUUUAUCACCUCAGAGACCUUCCUUGAGGUCAUAUUAGACUGUCAUGGAAAUAGCAUGCUUCUCAGAUGUUGGUGUAAUGCUGAUUAAUGUGACACUCUCUGGUAACUUAUGUAGUAAUAGCGCAUUAUCAUUUAAAAAAUAGCUGAAUUAAGGAUGUUUUAACUUUUAUUCAGGCUCUCUUAUGAAGAAAGCUAAAACCUUGGCUAUAACAAUAAGGUGGGAUGAAUAACUAAAAGAAAGCUGGAUUUGAGUCUUAGGUAAUUUCAGUGAAGAAUAAGGAAGUAGCACUUUAAGACAUAGCUGUGAAGUAGAUAUUUCUCACACCAAAAUGUGUGGUGACUUGUUAGCUUAAUGCUUUUCUGUUACUGAGUGCCAACUACAUAUAACCACAGCAGUUAUAAAUCAUGUUUAAAGAUCAGACUAAGGGAAAAUGAUAAAGAUCCAGCUAUAUUCUAAUCUCAUUAGCUACUACUUCUCAUGAAGGAAGGAGAAAAAUAUAUAUUUUUUUUCUAAAAAAACCCCUAGGACAUAAAAGUAGACUUCCAUGUGGAAGUAUUUACAUAUGAGAAUGUGGCAGUGACAUGAAGCUCUGUUUUAUUUCUCAAAGUCAUUAGGUAUAUGAAAUGGGUUUUUUUUUUUUGUGGGUUUUUUUUUUGUGUGUGUGUGUGAACUCCGUAUUUACUUUUCUAAUCCUUCACCUUUCUAUUAUGAUAUGCCAGGGGGAAGGUGGAGGAAGGGUGAGUCAGCUGCUUUCUUCCAAUAUUGAAUUAGAAGUGAUUUCAGUUUUGCUCAGGUAGAAAAGCCUUUCAUGGAAUAUUCUCCAGGUAGGUAUAGCAGAAAAACUCCUGUCAAUAUGUUUGCAUACCAUAGUGAGAUGUAGAGAAUGAAUUCCACUGCUGAUCAUGUCUCUCUAAGCAAAAGUCAAGCAGUUUCUCUUAUGUGAUCUGUCUGAGACAUUGUAUAGCAUUUUUCUUGACAUCUUGGAUUGUCCAGGAAGCAAGUAGCAGGCCUGAACAGUCAGCAUCAUCCUCAUCUUUUAUUUGGCAAUAUGAUGGAGAGUUGACUUGAACAUCUGCCCAUGAUUUUACACUAUCUGGGUUUUAGAGACAUCAGCAUUCUGUAUUGGUAUCGUCUCACCUUCCACUCUCUGUGGCAUCACCAUAUAAAUCUGCCAUUAUGGUAUGGCUUCUGCCAUAAAUCUCAUUGGAUCACUCCAUGAAAUCCUUAAAGCUAUGAGGAUGAGAUGGCCAUGCAGUGCGAGAUGUUGUAACUAACCAAGGGAAUGUGGUUCUCUUUCUCAAGACAAAACUGCAGCAUUUUUUAGGUGAGAUCUUUGUGAGGUCAGAGUAUUUCCUUUCCUUUUUUUCUAAAUGUUUAAACUGAACCCUGGAACAGGACCUGAUUUGAACAUAGGAAUAGAUUUCCUGUGACAGGAAAAGGUGCCAGUGUCUUAUCUUUCAGUUUUUUUCCUACUAAUUGACACUCUCAUUUCUUUGUGCCAUUUUAAAAUGAUGAUGUAUGGCUAAUAUAAUUCAUGCAUCACAAAAGCAUAAAGUGAAUAAGGGAGUUCCGGCCAUAGCUCAGUGGUAACGAACCCAACUGGUAUCCAUGAGGAUGUGGGUUCGAGCCUUGGCCUUGCUUAGUGGGUUAAGGAUCCAGUGUUGCUAUGAGCUGUGGUAUAUGUCACAGACAUGGAUCGGAUCCUGCAUUGCUGUGGCUGUGGUGUAGGCCAGCAGCUGUAGCUUCAAUUCGACCCCUAGCCUAGGAACUGCCAUAUGAUGCAGGUGUGGCCCUAAAAAAAAAAAAAAAAAAAAAAAAAGUGAAUAGAAAUUAGGGGGGAAAGGAAACAACAUUAGGAAGCUAAAAUGAAGCCAAAGGUGUGCUCAGCAGUAUAGGUUAGAAGCUAAAACUACAGUUUUAGCUUUAAAAUUUCUAGUUUCUAAAGAGCUUUAAAAUUUUAGCUUUAAAAUUUCUAGUUUCUAAAGAGAAAACAAAUUUUUUACAAGAUUUGAAGUGGCCAUGCUAUUAAUGCUAACUAAUUUCUCAUGAGGGAAAAAAAACCCUUUUAUUCCAACUAUAGGGUCAUUGUUCUCACAGGGAGCAUUGCAAUGAGCUUAAUUUCUUUAACAAAACCCCUCCAGUGAGUAAGAGUGAAAAAUUAUUGUGGGCUUUUUUCUUAUUAUCUAUAUUUGAUGUGAGCCUGUAAGUGAUAGAAACAUGGAACCCGGGUAAAAUGCAAUUGUUUGAGGCCCUGUGAAAAGCGAUCUCUAAGGACUAAUGUUUAUGAUGGUCUGCUUUUGUUCCCAGUAUAAAAAAUUAGAAAUUUAAAGCCGGAGUUGCAAACUUGUCUCUAUAGUAGGACAGAGUAAAUAUUUUUGAUCUUGUGUGUCAUAUGGCCUCUGUCACAACCAUUCAGCUCUCCUGUGGUAGCAUGAAAGCAGCCACAGAUGAUGUGUAAAUGAAUGGGUGUAACUGAAUAUCAAUAAAACUUGAUUUACAAAAUCAGGCAGUGAGCCAGAUUCGGUUCAUGAACCAUAGUUUGCCAACUCCUGAUCUGAAGAAAUAAGGACUUUAUUCACUUCAGAGUUUUCUCCGUAUCUGUAAUUCCUCAGAACAAAAUUUAAUAAGCUUAGAGAGCAAGAAUUAGAAAUUCAAAUAGAGUUUCCAAUGUGAGGACCUGAAACAAAGAGUUGAUUACCAUAUUAGGGUAAUAUAUGAUUCAAUCCCCCAACCAGAAGUCUGUUUUGACAUCUUCAUAUGAAAAGUAAAUCAUUUAACCAGAGCUUCCUUAGCUCUGAAUAAAUGAGUUAGACCUCAUCAGCAUCAACCUUUUUUUUUAACCCCAAAUUCCACAUUCUACAGAAAAACAAACCAAUCCCUGUGAAUAACGUGCACCCAUGAUGGAUUGGUGUGGAUCUUGGCUGUCCCACUUGUCAUUUCUGUGAACUUGAGCAAGUUACCCUACCUUUCUCUAAUUUGAUCUUCUUAUCAGAGACCUGGGCAAAAUAAUUCCUUCUUCACAGGCUGCUAAGAGGCAAACUACUUAGCCAUUAGCUAAAGGAUUCAUAUGCUUUAAUAGAUAAAAUAAUUCUGGCCCUGGAAAUAUAUGUCAGAAGCUCAGUUUGUUGGCCAGAGGACUGUAUGCAACAAAUAGAACUAUUUAUCUGGCUGUGCAAGACAUGGACUGUGUAAGCAUCUGAGAUGCAAAUAUGAAUAAAAAUAUUGUAACUGUACAUGAAAAUAAGGAUUUGAGGGAAAAGAAAAAUAAGUCCAAUAUCUGGCUGCAUUAGGCCUGCAGUGUUGAAUGGAAGUGAUCAGCUGUCCACAAAAACCAGGGCACAGGAGUUCCCGUCGUGGCUCAGUGGUUAACAAAUAUGACUAGGAACCAAGAGGUUGCAGGUUUGAUCCCUGGCCUUGCUCAGUGGGUUAAGGAUCUGGCGUUGCCAUGAGCUGUGGUGUAGGUCGCAGACAUGGCUCGGAUCCUGUGUUGUUGUGUCUCUGGCAUAGGCCAGCAGCUACAGCUCCAAUUAGAUCCCUAGCCUAGGAAGCUCCAUAUGCUGCGGGAGCAGCCUUAGAAAAGGCAAAAAGACAAAAAAAAAAAAAAAAACAACCAAAAAACAAACAAACAAACAAACAAAAUGCAGGGCGCAUAGCCUCUGGUUUGCAUGGCUUUGGCCUGCUGCUUUUCUUUUGCAGUGCCCAGGAGAAAUAGCAAUCCUUUUUUAUACCUUGUCCACAACUUUUUCUUUUCUAUACUUGUCCAUUUUUUUUUUAGUAAGUCUUGCAUGGUUCUUAUCAGGACCUACAGAGUAGUGUCUUAGUAUGUAAAUCAAGAAGUUAAUAGGUUCUCUGUGAUAAAAGAAUUCUGGUUAAAUAAGUUGAGGGAUGCUGAAAGAACCAAAACAAACAAACAAAUAAAAGAACCACGUGUCUUUUCUUUGGGCCUUUCACUAUCUUUUAAUAUAUUAAUACUUCUGGGUUCCAAGGUAGGCGUGCACUCAACAGUUUUCUUGUGUUGAUUUAACAAAGAAAAAAAACAACCAUUCUUUAAUUUUAAUGCUUCAUGCAUUGUGGCCACUUAGCCAUUGACCACAUUUCUCCCAUAGAACAUGCUGUGGGAAACACUGCAUUUACUGUUCCAAAACUCCCCAUAGAAUGUAGAAUUUUAGACAAACAUUCUAGGUGUAUUUGUUGCAAAUAGUAUCCACUGAUAUGUUGUACAUAGUAUCUUCUGUUACUGUUGUACAUAGUAUCUAUUGAUACUAUUUCACAUAAUAUUAUCCACUGAUUACCAGAUGAUUGAACCUACUUUAUCAGAGUAUCAAUGGUAUAGUAGUAAUAUAACAAAGAUUAAUUGAAUACUUACAGGCAGUGGCUAAGUACUUUGCUGGCCUAUCUCAUUUUAUCCUCACAAAAAUACUGUAAAGUAGUUUUCUUAUCCCUGUCCUACAAAGGAUGAUGAAGAGGCUCAGAGAAGCUAAAUAACUUGCUGAACAUCACACAGCUGCUAUGUAAGGCAAACAAUAUCUUCAGCCUUCACUCUGAGCUGCUGGACUCCAUCGUCUUGGCUAAAUGCAGUGACAAUUGGCAAACAUUUGCCUUAACUUAUAUCUUAUAUUAGUGUAAUCUUAGACCAUCUUUCUUUCACACAGUAAUUAUGUACGACAAAGUGCCUAUUGAGAAUAACACUGGUUUUUAAGCAUAAAACAUUAAUAAAAAUAGAAAAAUAUAUGUUGCCUUUCAUUUCUUUUUUUCCAGGACAUACAUGUGGCUAAUUCAGUAGACCCAUAAAGUUAUGGUAAAAUUUAAAAGGAGGAGGUGGUGAAACGCAGCUCCUUAACAGCUUGAAAAUGUUAUAUGACCUGAUGAGGUUGUUUCUGAAGACACCGAUACCCAUAGCUCUCUUAAGGCACAGAUUUCUUAUAUCUAUUCCUAAAGGUCCUAAUUAGCUCCAAACUGCCCCCUAUUUGCAGCAAUAAAGGUCGAGAAAGAUCAACAGAAGCUACACAUAAUUUAAUAUUCCUCUGUAAGGUGACAGAAAUCUAGCAGUGCUUAAUAAAGAAAUAGAUAGGCCUGUAUUCCCUUUGUCAUAAUGUCAUUACUGUCCACCUUUCCCUGAAAGUCUUGUGUAUGAUUUUGCCUCAAGAAGUACAAACUUCCAUUUUAUUAAAGGAAAACAUUUGACUGGUUACUGGGAAGAUGUUCGGUGGGGUCUAAAAAUAGUCCAUAAGUUAGAAGAAAACCUUUGGUAUUCCAUAGAUUGGUUGGCAAUCAACACACAAAAUAAUUAUAAUAAAAUAUUAAUAGUUCUAAGUGUAUAUAUUUAUACACAAAAAUUUAUGCAUAUACAUUGCCACAUAUCAUGGAUAUCAAGAUGCUAUUGUAAUAUACAACAUUGAUUGUAAUCAAAGCUUUUAACAGGAAAGAUAAACAUUGUAUCAAAUAUACAGUGAAUUUUUUAUAAGACACAUUCAGAUUUCAGGUGCAGUAAGAACUCAGAUGUAUCUUAAGAUGGAGUCUGGCUGAGAUGGAAUUGAUGGAUUGUUGACUGAUCAGAUGUUGGGACUGGUUCCUGUUUGGAUGGGUAAAGGAAAGGGAUUGGUGGCUCUGAGAAGCAAAUUGAAAUUGUAGCAUGCUAUGAAGUUUAUUUAAGAAGUUCUGAAUAAGUGUCAAUUUGAAAGCCUUUUGAAUUAGUUGGGGUUACCUUUAAAUGGGUCACCCUCUAAUCAUACUUUAUUUGUCCCUCUGGUGUAUUUACAGGUACUGAAGAUGGAUGGGCAUCAUUAGGUAUCUCUUAUUAUAUUGUCCCACAAAUAUCUUAACCGUUUGUGUGCUGGAGAGGCAAAUAUUUGACUUCCUUGGAUAUCAGUGGGCUCCCAUCCUGGCAAAUUUUGUACAUAUUAUUAUCGUCAUUCUUGGUUUAUUUGGAACUAUUCAGUAUAGACCUCGUUACAUAACAGGAUAUGCUGUCUGGCUAGUCCUCUGGGUUACGUGGAACGUGUUUGUUAUCUGCUUCUAUUUGGAGGCUGGGGACCUCUCAAAGGAAACAGAUCUUAUCCUGACUUUUAAUAUUUCAAUGCACCGAUCUUGGUGGAUGGAGAAUGGACCAGGAUGUACGGUGACAUCAGUGACACCUGCCCCAGACUGGGCCCCAGAAGACCAUCGCUACAUCACGGUCUCAGGGUGUUUUCUGGAGUACCAGUACAUAGAAGUGGCUCACAGUUCCCUCCAGAUUGUCCUCGCACUGGCAGGGUUCAUCUACGCCUGUUAUGUUGUGAAAUGUAUAACUGAAGAAGAGGACAGCUUUGAUUUCAUAGGUGGCUUUGACUCUUAUGGCUAUCAGGGGCCUCAGAAGACAUCUCAUUUACAACUACAGCCUAUGUACAUGCAAAUUCCCUUGGAUAACAACUGAUAACAAAUUCUAUAUAUCAGCAUCAAGUGAUAUGCUGAAUUGCAAGCGAAGAUCAAAAUAGAAAGUCGAAGUAAUACAAAUGGCUUCAGUACAUCAGCUCCUGGACCCCUCAAAGAACUUGUUUCCCAGUGGCCUCCUGCAUUUUUUGAAGAGCAAGAAGCAACUGAGUUUAUAUAUAUAUAUACACACAUAUUAACAAAGAAACAGUCUUCACAUACACUGGGACACACACACAAUUAUACUUGGCCUCCUCUUUCUAACUGAAACAGAUAAACAUGCAGGACAUGCCCUGUGGUGGAUUUCCUGAAAGCAGGCUGCUUUCUCCCAGGCCUUUGGAAAGUUCCUGAGGAAACGUGUUGGUGCUCUCUGCUGGCCGACACUAACUCCUCUGCAGCUCAACCAGUCAGCCUCCCAUAGCUGCAAAGUCAUCCAGGGCACAUUAGCUUGAAAGCCCCGUUUUCUAGCGCACCAUGUGUCUUGAUAGCGCCACAGCUAUGAAGGCAAUGUAAUUGCAAAGACAAAACAUGCCAUGACGACCUAGUAACUGAAGUCUGAAAUGGCAGGUUGUUUGCCCUAAAGCUAGACCGUACAUACUUGCCUUAACCCACCUAAGUUGUGCGCUUGAGAACCUCAGCGCAUACAUCCCCGAGUCACUUCCUUUAGGCUAACACACUGCUAUUAAUUCCGAAUGGGUUUGAGUCUAUGUGUCUCAUGUCAAGAAACAAGACUGUCUAGCUCAGCAGCUCCACUGUCUAAGAAAACUGCCAGCUGUCAGCAAAGUGCUUCUACCAUUGAGCCUCCAUGGUGGCCAAAAAGAGACCAGUAAUAACAAGUUGUAAUCAUCAUCUUUAUAAUUCUUCAAAGUCUUCAGAGGAGGUUGGGUGGGACAAAAAAUGUAUUAAUCUACUAAACUCAUUAAUCUACCGGAAGCAGAGAUCAGAAAUGGCUUAAUUCUAACCAGUUUUAUUUAUUGCACUCUAGGUGCUUUUUUAAGUAUCUACAAAUGUCUUUUACUAACAGAAACAGCUGUGGAUUUCUAUCAACAGAGGCCAACUGAAUAUGUAUUAGCUAUGUUUACUCUUUUAUAUCUAAUUCAAAUGGAAGACCCUAUGUAGAUGAACUUUUUUUCCUAACUUCAGCGUACGAGAUUAUUUUCUGGGUGGGCGGGGGGAGCAGUAGUUAACCUUGGUGAAACAUUUGAGAUCUUUGUGGUAUUUGGGGGAUCUGUUGUGUGUUAGAGUGUAUUUUAAUCCUCCUGUAUUAUUGUGGCAGAAAAAAAAACUGUGCUGUUAACGUAGUUGGCAACAAGAUGCCUUUGGAAACUUAAUAGUAGGUCAAUGUGUUUAUGAAAUAUUCUGAAUUCUAGAAAAUUGUUUUAUAUAUUCAAGCAUUCUUUGGUUUUCAUGAGUGAAACACAUAAUUAGCUCAGGCUUGUCAGGAACUCAGAUGAGUUUUGGGGAUCCACCUGAGAUAAUAAGUUCAGUAUUUUUCCAAAAGUAAUAAUACACCAUCCUUAAAUGCAGUGAAAUUGACUUGAAAAGUUAGAGAUUGGCAUGAAGCAACUUUUUCCUCUUGGUUUCUAUGAGGUUUGUUACUGGGCUAACCUACUUUGGAUAUUAGCUCAUCCAAAUCUACAUUAAUCAGUCCCAUUCCUGUGUCUGCAUGGAUGUCUGAUCUACACACACAUGAAUUUGAAAAUGACAAAGGGACAAAGGUUACUAUUAGAACAUAAACUACAAAAAAGGUUCCAGCACGUGUGCUUGAAUUCUCAGUGGUCUAUGUUUGUCCAUAUAUACAUGUAUAGAACAUGUCAGUGAAACCUCACUUUAGUGACAUGCAUGUUAAGUGUAUGAGAAACUUUACCAAUGUUAUCGUCCUUUGAUUCUUAAUAUAAAUACUAUACAUGCCGGAAAACUAAUGUGACUAUUAAUGUGACUACAAAAAUGAGGUUUCACUGUACAUUCCUGCUGGGAUGCAAUUCCACCUUAUGAGACAUGUAUAUGGAUUAAUAAACCUUCAUAUCCCUGCUUUAAGUUGCAGCCAAGUUACCAUCUAUUUACUAUCAUCAUGACCCAAAUUUUCAAAAACAGUUGUUGACUACUAAAAAGGAUUCAGUGGACAGGGAGCACAGUCAUGUGAUUCUAUCUGGGAAUAAACAUCGAAGUUGUACAGCUGUAUCCUCCUCAAAAUCCGGUGAAGAAUGCUAUUUUUCUAGGCUGAGCUUUUGUUAUAAACCUAAUAUUCAGAAGGCAAGAGUUACAAUCCUGAUGUGUCUUUUUUUUCCGUUUGUUAAUUCUGAAUGUAUUUUUAACAGAGUGAUUUUUUUGACUUACUAGUGUAAUUUGCAUUUUAAAAAUAAAUGGAAAAACAAU